CAAGGCAAGAAAUGACCAGAAGUGGUUUGUCACGGCCUUCCAUUCUGAGUAGCACCUCCUUGCUUGUUUGGCUCCCAUCCGAGGACUAACCACAGCGGAUCCUACUUAGCUUCCAAGAACUGGCAAGACUGAGCUAUCCUGGGACAUCCAGGAUUUUCAAGCUGUUACAAAGGCACCUGUUGCAGGGACCUGGAUUUGUGAAGAGAGAACGCAGGAGGGCGCACUGAUCAUUAACCAGCUCUGAAAUGGCUGAAAAAGAUGGAGCCCUUAAAGCACGGGGGAGCUCUUUGUCCAAAGUUGUGGCUGUGGUAGCCAGCGGCUUCCUACUUCUGGCUGGGAUAGGUGCUGGAAUCUGGGCUAUUGUGAUGUCAGCUCUUGGAAGCGAAGGUGAGAGUCUGUACGUUGUUCAGGUGAGUCCUGGAGACCAGCGCCUUACCCUGUAUGAUGAGAGCGAAAGGAAAUGGAGGCUUCUGUGUUCGUCCCCUGCUGAUGCCAAAAUGGCUGCCUUGGGUUGUGAGGAGAUGGGUUUCAUAAGAUCUCUCUCGCACUCUGUCCUGUCUGCUGACAUCUCAGGGGUAAAUGGGACUUCUGGCUAUUUCUGCGUGGAUGAGUACCGCCUGCCUUUUGCCCGAAGGCUCAACGAGGCCAUUGUUGUGUGUGAGUGCCCAACAGGCCGGUUCCUGGCAACGCUCUGCCAAGAUUGCGGACGCCAAAAGCUACCUGUGGACCGUAUUGUGGGGGGUCAAGAUGCCAGCUUGGGCAAGUGGCCGUGGCAAGUCAGCCUGCGCUACGACGAAACUCAUCUUUGCGGGGGCUCCGUCAUCUCUGACGAGUGGGUUGUUACAGCUGCGCACUGUUUCCCAGAGAGGAAUCGAGUGGUCAGCCGAUGGCGGGUGUUUGCAGGUGCCGUGUCUCAGCUCUCGGCCAAGGGGCUGCAGGUGGGGGUGACGAGUGUUGUGUACCACGGCGGGUAUCAGCCUUUUUUGGAUCCCAACAGCGAGGAGAACAGCAACGACAUUGCUCUUAUGCACUUGGGAACGCCCCUUUCCUUCAGUGAAUAUAUCCAGCCCAUCUGCCUCCCAGCCCUGGGCCAACCAUUGGUGGAUGGCAAGAUUUGUACAGUGACUGGCUGGGGCAACACACAGUACUAUGGUCAACAGUCAGAUGCGCUGCAAGAGGCCAGCGUGCCAAUCAUCAGCAACAGCGUCUGCAAAAGUCCAGACUACUACGGCAGCCAGAUCAGGCCCAAGAUGUUCUGUGCGGGCUUUGCUGCGGGGGGCACAGACGCCUGCCAGGUAGGCGGUGCUUGGCAGCGGGUGGAAGUUCAGAAGUGUGCAGCACACCUGCAGAUGUGUGUGGCAGCCCCACCCAUGUGGUUUUUUGAGAGGGUGACAGUGGUGGGCCCUUUGUGUGUGAGGAUGGCAUCUCACGGACUUCCCGCUGGCGACUCUGCGGCAUCGUGAGCUGGGGCACUGGUUGCGCCCUUGCCAAUAAGCCAGGAGUCUACACCAAGGUCAAUGAUUUCCAGGGCUGGAUCUACCGGGCCAUGAAGACACACUCCGACGCCAGUGGAAUGGUCAUUCAGCACUGAAGCUUAGGAAGUUGCCACCUUGCCAACCUCCUUCCGUCCCAGAGAGACGCUGCUGUGUAUUUUUUUAAAGGGACUUUUUAAUGGAAGAAAAACUGGACAACAUAACCUUGGCUUGGAGCAAUGUUACUAAAAUGGGGUGGUGUGGAUCUCUUGCCAACAGGCACAGCCAUAGUGACAUAGCAGCUCCUGCCCGGCCAACAGGAUGCGUUCUCUGUGGCAGCCUGUCUGAAUGGUGCUUGUAACUCUUUCCUUAUCCGUCCAGAAAAGCAUUUUGACUCGCUGCUUCAGGGCCUCUGUGAUUGGCUAGUGAGCAAACAAUGUGGGCGCAGAUGUUGGCGCAGCCAUGCCAUUUUGGUCUGUGGAAGGCAGGUCAGAGCAAGGGUGCCUGAUCAGGAUGCUUCCUGUUGUGCCUUUUUCUUCUCCACCCAAACAGUCCAGAGCAUCUGCAAAUCAACAAGACAGAUAAAACAUGAGCAAUGAGGCUCUCCCCUGGCUUGCCCAGGUGAACAGAGUUCCCAAACUCCCCCAAUACUGUCUGUGCAUUUUCGUUAUCUCAUUGUGUCAAUGAACCAUCCUGCCUUUGGGGAAGAUCUUAGGAAAAGGGAACAAGUCCUGGAUCGUGAAGGCCAAACUGUACAUUACAACUACACAUGAAUGGUGUGCUGUGUGGUUUCCGGGCUGUAUGGCCGUGUUCCAGCAGCAUUCUCUCCUGAUGUUUCUUCUGCAUCUGUGGCUGCCAUCUUCAGAGGAUCCUCUGAAGAUGCCAGCCACAGAUGCAGGCGAAAUGUCAGAAUGCUGCUAGAACACGGCCAUACAGCCUGGAAACCACACAACACCCCAGUGAUUCCGGCCGUGAAAGCCUUCGACAAUACAUUGUACAUGAAUGGUUGCAUAGAUAUAAAAAGGGGAAAUAAGAUUAAAUUAAAUUAAGAUGUGUACUCUGAUCUUUCUAUUUGCCAGUGCAAAGAGCUCUGCUCUUUCAAAAAUAACAAGAUCAGACAACAACAGCAAAAUCAAUUUCUAAUGAUUAGACAAAUCUGGCCUAUUAGGCAAUAACCUAUUGAUAUAUUUACUCGGAUCACUGUGAAGGCAGCAAACAAGGACAUAAUGCAAUAAAUCUUCAACGGAGCCAGGUCUGCAAAUACAAAGGUAAUGAGGGUCAGGGAUAUGUGGAAAAUGACCAGUUCACUUUGCUGAUGGCACAGCGAGAAAUGUAAAAUAAGUAAAAGUCAUCCUUACUGCUCCAGUUGUUCAGGUCACUAAAUACAGGGUUCUGGAGCGGUCCCUUUUAAAAGAUUUAAACCAAGAGGCUACUUAAGAUUGUUUGAUUAAAUCUCAGUCUAACACAGCAUCAUUAGCAAAAGUGUUCCCAAAGGCAUCGGACCUAAUUUUAGUGUUUGGGAGAAUCAGUUGUGGACCACUAUUUAACUGUUUGCUUUGCGGUGGGGUUUUAUUGAGGAUUUUUUUUGUUUGCACAGAGUUUCUUCUCCUGUGAAGUGUCCCAAGCCAAACCGAUAUGCUACCAUGCCCCCCUUCCCUGCCAUGCUUCCUUGAGAGAGCCAGCAUGGUGUAGUGAUUAAAAGCAGGUGGAUUCUAAUCUGGAGAACCGGGUCUGAUUCCCCACUCCUCCACCUGAGUGGCAGAGGAUU